rnacentral:rRNA from 1 species
CGGUUGAUCCUGCCGGACCCCACUGCUAUCGGGAUAGGACUAAGACAUGCAAGUCGAGCGGCCUCCAAGCCCCCAUGGUUGGGGGCGCGGCCCACGGCUCAGUAACACGUGGCUAACCUGCCCUUGGGACGGGAAUACCCCCGGGAAACUGGGGCUAAUUCCCGAUAGGUGAAGAACUCUGGAAUGAGUCUUCGCCCAAAAGGCGCUUAAGCAUGCUCUUAGGCGCCGCCCAAGGAUGGGGCCGCGACCGAUCAGGUAGUUGGUGAGGCAACGGCUCACCAAGCCUUUAACCGGUGCGGGCCGUGAGAGCGGGAGCCCGGAGAUGGGCACUGAGACAAGGGCCCAGGCCCUACAGGGCGCAGCAGUCGCGAAAACUUUGCAAUACACGAAAGUGUGACAGGGCUAUCCCGAGUGCCAUCCGCUGAGGAAGGCUUUUACCCAGUCUAGAAAGCUGGGAGAAUAAGGAGAGGGCAAGUCUGGUGUCAGCCGCCGCGGUAAUACCAGCUCUCCGAGUGGUGUGGAUGUUUAUUGGGCCUAAAGCAUCCGUAGCUGGCCGAGUUAGUCCCCUGUUAAAUCCACCGAAUUAAUCGUUGGAGUGCGGGGGAUACUGCUCGGCUAGGGGACGGGAGAGGCCGACGGUAUUUCCGGGGUAGGGGUGAAAUCCUAUAAUCCCGGGAAGACCACCAGUGGCGAAGGCUGUCGGCUAGAACGUGCCCGACGGUGAGGGAUGAAAGCUGGGGGAGCGAACCGGAUUAGAUACCCGGGUAGUCCCAGCUGUAAACGAUGCAGGCUAGGUGUUUGGGCGGCCACGGGCCGCUCUAGUGCCGCAGGGAAGCUGUUAAGCCUGCCGCCUGGGGAGUACGGCCGCAAGGCUGAAACUUAAAGGAAUUGGCGGGGGAGCAC